rnacentral:rRNA from 1 species
CACGGCUGUCGUCAGCUCGUGUCGUGAGAUGUUGGGUUAAGUCCCGCAACGAGCGCAACCCUCGAAUUUAGUUACUAACAGUUAGGCUGAGGACUCUAGAUUGACUGCCUGGGUAACCAGGAGGAAGGUGAGGACGACGUCAAGUCAUCAUGGCCCUUACGGCCAGGGCUACACACGUGCUACAAUGGGGUAUACAAAGAGCCGCGAUACCGCGAGGUGGAGCAAAUCUCAUAAAAUAUCUCCCAGUUCGGAUAGUAGUCUGCAACUCGACUACUUGAAGUUGGAAUCGCUAGUAAUCGUAAAUCAGCAAUGUUACGGUGAAUACGUUCCCGGGUCUUGUACUCACCGCCCGUCACACCAUGGGAAUUGAAUUCAUUCGAAGCGGGGAUGCUAAAAUAGCUACCUUCCACAGUGGAUUUAGUAACUAGGGUGAAGUCAUAACAAGGUA